CAUCUUUAAGCUGCUAGGAAGCUCACAGAGCUCUCUGAGGGAAAUAAGUUACCAAGCUGGGAAAUAUCACUGACAAUACAUCAGCCUUUUUUCUUCUCUGGCUUCCCUCUUCCACUCCCCGCUUCCUAUGAUUUAAAAUGAGCAAUGAUUAGCCUGGCCAUCUUGAAGGGUGAUUUCCCUGUAGAGAAGUUCAAUCGUUCAAAAGUGGUCAGGAUUACUGUGAAGCUGAGAAAGAAGUACUGAUGAUUUGGACAUUCCAAGGAACUAAUGAAGAAGUGGGACAAUGCCAUUGGUUCAACCACCAGGGACUGUGAGCUUCAAACUACUCAACACCUACUGCAAUGCCCGCUGCUUGAAGGCACAUGUACAAUGAAAGAUCUUGCAAAGUACAGUAAACAAGCACAAACAUGUGUAACAAAAUAGUCAAAUGUAGUGUAGAGACAUGAGAAGAAGGACCUUCUUAACUGCUGAUUUCCCAGAAAAGAAAAAGAACAGAUACCAUUAUCUUUCUGCCCUAUAACUUAGCCUUUCCUCAGACAGAUAUCUAUUGCAACACUGUUAUUAAUCAUUUCCACAAUAUAUUACCAAGAUGGUCAGAGAAUACUAUAUACAAAUGCUAAGUCAGUGCCUCUCCAUAAAUGCAUGGGAGAACUUCUCCUUUGUUCAUACCUUUUACCCUACUAAUUGGCAGGGAUCCUGUUUUCUCUUAUAAAAAAAAUCAAAUUCUCUGAUAAAAAAACCAAAAUCCAUGAUUAAAAUGAAAUGCCACUAUGUAUAUAGAUAUCAAUGUAACAUAAAGUUUUAUUGAUAUAUUUACAAUUUUAAAGUAGUUUGGAAGCCUACCGGUGCCUCAAUAACUAUAAUAAAAUAAAUUAUAAAUACAUAUAAA